CCCUUAAAUCCUAGUUCUAUCCACCAAACUGCCUCUGUUCCUCACUACUUCUUACAAUAGCACAAAGUGGUUGGUUAAGUGUAAGUUACUGAUGGCAGUAGUGAUUUUGUUACAUUUUAGCAAUCCUUUCGUUAAACUGAGAAAAGAUUUAGUCACUUCUGAUAUCGGAGAUGUGAGUGAACAUUUCGCUUAUCCAUUCGCUCACAUAGUAUGACACUACGCAAAACUAGAACCGACAAGUCGAUCGUAAAAUAUCUUAUCUUUAGAUAUCCGUUACCUCUGAUAGAUCUGAUAACCCUGUUACCUAUAAAAUUGAAAUCUUCGUUUCUAGUAACUUAACUGUGAAGUGCAGCAGCGUCCUACAAGUGCUUAUGAAAAUGGGACGUUAUAAUUAAAUAUUUAAUAUAAGCUAUAUCCACGUUCAAACGUUGUAGCAGAUUGACAACGUCGUGAUUACCAGUCGAGUUCUUCAGUUUAAUCUUUUUGAUAUCAAAACAACACUUUCUUCAUUUUUGUUAUAGACUACUUUCUUUAUUUUUCCUCAUUAGUUGCAUCAGCUGCUGUUUGAUUAUUUUCUGAUGGCUGCUCAUCUACUGCGUCGACGGGUUGCAUUUUUGUGUCUUCCUGUUCCUCACUGGUAUUUUCUUGAACAGGCUCGUUUGCUUCUUCUAUCGUGUCCUUUUUAACAGAGAGGAAAUUUGAUUCCACAUAUUUUAACAUAAGGUUAAGCCAAUGAGAUACCCAUAUAUUUUCAGCAUUUUCGGAAAUAAGGGCGCGCAAAGCUGACAAUAGUAAAUUCGUGACAAUUUCCUUUUCCUCAUUCGCUUCAUUGAUUAGCGAAGAGUCUUCUUUGUUAGAAACCGAACGCCGCAAUCUAGCUGCUAAUUUAUUAAAAGUGGUGUUAACAAGUGACCACGUAUAACUACGAGACCAUAUAGUCACGUCUUGCUUGAUCAACCACUCAAUAAUAGAGGUAAUACUAAUUAUAGAGUAGUUCAGCAUUUUAUCUAGCCACAUAACUGCGUUGAACGGUUGUAAUUUCCAAAAUGAAAAAAGUUCAUCAACAACCUCUAUUUCGGAAUCUAAUGAUUUUCGAGAAAAAUGUUUCAAUGUAUUAAGAUGUUUCUCGAACACGUUCAAUGCGUGCGAAAACGAUCUCGAACCCAAGCUAUAAGCACAAGACAUAACUAAUCGGACAGCAGAUGUCUCGGAGUUUUGAAUCUCCUCGCUCUGCAAAAUAAUGUCAAGUUCUUCUAACGGUUUAUGUAAUCUCAAUGCUUCGAUAAUUUGACUUGACUGUUGAUAUAGCGGAUGAGUCUCAUUUUCGUACACGAAAUUGGGACCCGACGGUUGUUCGCCAAGCAAACAACGUAACUCUUCAGGGAGUGAGUCAGAAAUUCUUGUGUAAUAGCUUAAAAUAAGUUCCCUAGUAAUAGUUUCCCGCAUAAAAACUUUUUUUGGAUGAAGAUCGUCCAGCUCAACGUCAGGAAUCCACUCAUUCCACUUCCAGUGAAAGUUGAAAUUACUAAGGUGAUGUGAAAACCAGUCAAUAAAUCGAUCAAGUGUUUGUAAAGGUAAAUCAGAAGACAUGGUAUACAUUAGCCGAAUGACCCUUCCAAAAGUUGGAGCCAAAAUUUUAGGAGCGAUACGGCAGCAUUCAAUCAAAAGCGAAUGAUAAUAGACAGGUUUAUACGUAGUAUUCUGUGAACCAAGAAGCUCACCCAAAACAGCUUCAACUAUGAUAUCUUCUGCUUUCCAACGUGAUUCCGAUGGAUCUAAAUUUGGUAAUUCAUUUACUGGAGUACCACGAAGAGCAAAAGUUUUGUAGGUAAAAUAAACAUCUAAAUCUGUAAGAACUUGAGCAGCCUCAACUCGGUUAAAUUCCAAAUGGUUUAUAACAUCCACACUUAUAUCACGAAAUAUGCUGGCUGCAACGUCGGAAGCGUCAGGAGUCGUGCGAAUUUCAAAGUUAUUAAAAAGCUCAAAAAAUCUCUUGAAGGAAGGUAGCUCAUUUUGCUGAGGAGUGGGCUGAAACGUCCAUUCAGGAAUACUUGGGCUAACCGGAACAAUAUGAACGAAAUCAGAUUCAAAAAACUUCCAGGGUUGAGAUAUAUAAGGAAAAGUAAAGUCGUUUUCCCGAGAUAGAAUUAGUUGUUUAUAGAGUAAGUCCAAUUCCUCCUCUGAAAGAUUGUCAUGUAUUGAAAGGGGAUUACUUAGAGUUAUCGAAGAUUUCCUAUGACGAACGUAAAUCUCACAUUGAUCCAGUAUCUCAUUAGCAAAAUCCUUUUUACCGAGAUCGUUGUUAGCUGCGAUGAAAUAUGGAAGGUUUAUCAAAAUUAUGCGCAGGAAAUUAUCUCCCCAGACACUGGGUUUGGUUUCUUUUGAGAUAGCGUCAGCCAGUAAUGAAAAUAGUGGCUUAAGGGUACCUGGUUGAAGUGCAAAUGACAUGCAAAUGAGCAUUCGUAGAUCGACUUUAGCCUCGUAAUAAAGAAAGGAGUUUAAAUUCGUAAAAUACUGUAAACAAAAAUACGCAGCUGCUUUUUCUAAGAUUAAAGGAACCCUUAAUGAGGCUCUUAUAAUUAAUGUAGCCAAAUGAGGUAUUUUGACUGGAAUGAUAAAUGCACUAAGGAUUAAAUUAGUUUUCUGAAGGGACAGUAUAAAUUAUCACUUACGUUGUCUGAAUGCAAUCUAAGAUAGUUGAAAUGGUUUCAGGAUCAUUAGCUUCACGACUAAGAGACAUAGCAACAUAAUUAAUGUCAUCAGCAGCUACUGAAUUUCCUCGAGGAUCCGCCAAAAAGGUAAUAUCCUUUUUUAUACGCGCUGCAAGUAGCUCUUGAGAGUU
rnacentral:lncRNA from 1 species